rnacentral:rRNA from 1 species
UUUUGGUUGGGGUAACCAUGGAGUUUAAAUCUCUAGAAUUUAUAGAAGAGUUUUCCUCUCUAAAAAAUCUUUUUGAACCAGUUAUUUCUGAAAUCAGAAUAAGUUACCGCAGGGAUAACAGCGUUAUCUUCUUUGAGAGUCCUUAUUGACAAGAAGGAUUGCGACCUCGAUGUUGGAUUGGGACAUCCUUAGGGUGCAGCAGCUCUAAAGGGUUGGACUGUUCGUCCAUU